AUGAUGACGUAAGUCCAAAGAUUUAUCGCCCAAGGAUGAGCCCGCGUAGGAUUAGCUAGUUGGUGAGGUAAAAGCUCACCAAGGCGACGAUCCUUAGCUGGUCUGAGAGGAUGAUCAGCCACACUGGGACUGAGACACGGCCCAGACUCCUACGGGAGGCAGCAGUGGGGAAUAUUGGACAAUGGGCGAAAGCCUGAUCCAGCAAUGCCGCGUGAGUGAUGAAGGCCUUAGGGUUGUAAAGCUCUUUUACCCGGGAUGAUAAUGACAGUACCGGGAGAAUAAGCUCCGGCUAACUCCGUGCCAGCAGCCGCGGUAAUACGGAGGGAGCUAGCGUUAUUCGGAAUUACUGGGCGUAAAGCGCACGUAGGCGGCUUUGUAAGUUAGAGGUGAAAGCCUGGAGCUCAACUCCAGAAUUGCCUUUAAGACUGCAUCGCUUGAAUCCAGGAGAGGUGAGUGGAAUUCCGAGUGUAGAGGUGAAAUUCGUAGAUAUUCGGAAGAACACCAGUGGCGAAGGCGGCUCACUGGACUGGUAUUGACGCUGAGGUGCGAAAGCGUGGGGAGCAA
rnacentral:rRNA from 1 species